UAAUACAACUCAUCUGAGCAGCACUGUUUAAAAAAACAUUUGUUCCUUCCAGAACUUUUCAAUUUGAUGCUCACUGUAAUGUAGCAAACGGGGUCGCAGACACUCAGUCCAAUUGCAAUGUGAGAGUUGACAAUUCUCAAACUGGGUUUGGGGCUCCUGGAUGAGGUAAUCUAAGUGGAUUUUCCUUGCAAGCAGCUGUCUCAGACUGAGCUUGGGGCAAAGUACAGAAUCCUGGAUUAAAGCAGACACAUGUCACGAGUGAAUAACGGCUGCUGGCCUCAAGGAUAACAUCGAUGCGGAAACUGCGACACUUUCAGGGUCUGCGUUAAGAGGUCAGACUUCAGCAUACCAGGCGGCUGCACCCACCACGGCACCAGGCAGCUGCCGGCCCGGCCCGGCCCCUGUACUCAUAUCAGGGCGUCGUCUGAUGUCCUUUGGAUGAGGGGGGCAGCUGGCUGGGACGGACGGGCGCAGCUGUGAGGGCCUGCAAGACGUGCUUGACCACCUCCAGCUCCUGAGUCUUCUCUCGAAGCAUCUCAUUCUCCCAGUCCAAUUGGCCGUUCUUCUUCUGCACUACCUCCAGCUCAUUGAACAGUCGCAGGGAGACGCUCUUCGCAACCUGCAUGCAAAACCAAUAACGGAAUAUUUGGUGCUCCCAUCAGAUAGCUUUAAGGAAAAAGUGGAGAACCGUUGUUUGGUUGGAAUUUGCAAGAAAACCACCAAUGUUCUCACAAACAUACAUUACAGCAAAUUUAGAAGAUGAAUUUGGCAUGAUUCCUUUAAGAUUCCUGCACUUUUACCAACCUUUGAAGGACCACUCAUCACUGAUACACACAAUAGCUUGGUAAAGUCAAAAACAGGGUGCAGUCAUUCAAGAACAGGAAAUACUUCACAGUUGUGGAUGUGCGCCUGUCUAAUUGACUAAGUAUGAUGGUUUGUAAUCAGCGGUGGGAAGUAAUCAAGUACAAAUACUUAAUUAGAUUUUUUUUUCAAGUCUCUAUCUGUACUUUACUUGAGUACAGUGGACCCCCGCAUAUUCGCUGUUCAGCAUUCAUGGAUUUUUUUUGUGUUUUUUUUAGGGGGGAACCUCUUAACCCCCGUUAUUUGCUGUAUUUUUCCCCAAUCCCCUGCUUAUUCAUGCUUUUUUUCAGGCAAAAAUCUUGAGCGAAAAAAAAUAUUUUCUUCAUGGCAUUUAUAAUGAGCAUCAAUUAUUCACGGAUUUUCGAGGGUCCACUGUAUUUAUUUUUAUGACGACUUUUUACUUUCACUCCCUACAUUUGAAAACAGAUACAGUAUCUCUACUUUCUACUCCUUACUUUUCAAUUAAGUCCACCGCAGUUAAAAUCUUAAUUGAUUAACUUAAUGUGUUGUGUCUUGUGCCAACCUAAAAAUGACUGGCUUUUGGCAUUCCAAACUUUUCCGCUUUGUUCAGUGAUUUUUGUUGUCAGUACAAGCACUAUGCAAGUUGAUAAAAGAAGAAAACUAAUUUGUGUGGAGACAAGUUAUUUUUUCUCUUGUGCCA